ACUGUGGUGGUGUAAUGGUUUGGCAUUUCUGCCUAGUAAGCAAGAAGACCCGGGUUCGAGUCCCGGCCACAGCA